rnacentral:lncRNA from 1 species
UCCACUUUCAUGUGCUGUUUGUUGUUAUCAGGGAAAAUGCAAACUGCUGGGUUAGCAGAAAGCCUGACCUGUUCUCCUGAAAUCUGCUUCUCACACCGGCCUCAGCUGUUGUCUCUUCCGGCCUGAAGCUGGAGGUGGAGGCCCAGAGUCCUUCCCUCCUCACCUCACCUUCACAGUUCCUCACUGUAGCAGCUGAUGGUGCUUAAGGACCAUCAGAGGCAUCAACAAUCAACCAAACCUCCACCGUCUGCCUUCCUUAGCCCAGACUGUGGACACACAGUGUGUUCAGUUAUUUUUAUUUGCAUGUAUGUUUUUAAAACCCUAUAGCAAAUUGGAAGAAAAGCUAUGCAAACCCCUCCUGGCCUUUCCUGUUGUGAAGGAUUUUUUUCAGGGGCUUCGAUCUGACCCUGGAGACCAGAGUGGUAGGUAUAAUUGGAUGGACGUUUGGAUUGGCCUCAGACAGUUCCUUCCCCACUCAUCAUUCUUUCGCUAAUUCAUUCAACAAACAGCCCAGGGUCAGGCCCCGCGCUAGGAUUCAGGACAGAGAUGUGAACAGAACCCAGUCCCUGACCCCAAAGCCUCACUGUCAAGUGGGCAAGAGCAGCUGAGACCAGGGUGUGCAGAGCCUGACACUGUGGGGUGGGGCAAGUCCGGGCUGACAGUGGGGUUGGAGGGAAGGAGGGAGCUCUGUCUCCUCACUCCAGGGCUGCUGGCCCUCCUUGGAGACAGCUGGUCAGGAGAACAGUCUUGCUGUCAGCAAACUUCUAUUUCCCUUUGUGGAUUUCACCUACGAAAUUGUUCUGAGAACCUCCUCCUCACCCUGUUUGGGAGGGAGGGACUCCCACCCGAGGGUCACAGGGAUGACCAAACACGCAACACCCUACUGUGGACAGAUGAGACCGACAGGGCUUCUGAGUCAUAUGUACUCAGCCCAGGGCGGGGGCAGGCACUGCAGGCCAAGCAGGGCCAUGGGGGCCCACACUGCGGCACAGAUGGCACCGGCCAGGACUGUGGGAGGCAGCCUCUGUGGUGCUUGACAAGAGGGUGGGAUGACCCUGGUGAGUCACUACAGGGAACCUGCUGAGAGGGGUGCAUGGUGUGUUGUGGGGUUGGAAACUUCCACUCAACCCUCUGCCAGGGUGCCCAGGCCCCCCAGAGCCCUUCCUGAGUUUGUCUGUCUGCUGCCUGGUGUGGCCACAGAGCUCUGGGCCACAAACAGGCUCCCGCUCUGCAUGUGACCUUCAGGAGAAGGGCCGGAGGAAAGACGACCUCUGAGAUCCUUUCUUGAGCAAACCUGCGUGUGUGCACGAGUGUGGGUGGCGUUUGCUCCAGGCCAGAGGUUAUCAGUGUUUCCAAGGAGCUCCUCCUCUCUGAAGCUGGCUCUGAGUCCCGCAGCACUCUGAUGAUGCCAACAUGGGUGGCAAUUCCCGAUACCCAGGAAAUGUGUGUUAACACAGACCAUGGGCCCCUCUCCAAGGAGGAGCAAACUGAUGGUCACCAUCAUCCCUGCAGA